AACGAACGCUGGCGGCAGGCUUAACACAUGCAAGUUGAGCGCCCCGCAAGGGGAGCGGCAGACGGGUGAGUAACGCGUGGGAACGUACCCUUUGCUACGGAAUAGCUCCGGGAAACUGGAAUUAAUACCGUAUGUGCCCUACGGGGGAAAGAUUUAUCGGCAAAGGAUCGGCCCGGGUUGGAUUAGCUAGGUGGUGGGGUAAUGGCCCACCACGGCGACGAUCCAUAAAUGGUCUGCGGGGAUGAUCAGCAACAUUGGGACUGAGACACGGCCCAAACUUCUAUGGGAGAGAGGCGUGGGGAACAUUGGACAGUGGGCGCAAGCGUGAUCCAGCCAUGCCGCGUGAGUGAUGAAGACCUUCGGGGUGUACAGCUCUAUCACCGUAGAAGAUCAUGACGGUAUCCGGAGAAGAAGCCCCGGCUAACGUCGUGCCCGCAGCCGCGGUAAAAC
rnacentral:rRNA from 1 species